CGCAAAAGGGGGGAAAGAAAAAAAAAAAAAAAAAAAAAAAAAGCCGGUGAUGAGGAUUUGGUGACCCUCGACAGCCAGUUCCAGUCAAUUCCACCUGUCUCUCAUAUUAUUGGCGUGACCCGUUUUAUUUCUUGCAAUGGGGAAUUAUUUAACAAAAUCUAGCGAAUACAAGGAGAUGAAGAAGCAAACCAAGAAGAAUACCGUCAUAAAUUC
rnacentral:ribozyme from 1 species